GACGAACGCUGGCGGCGCGCCUAACACAUGCAAGUCGAACGAGCGAGAGAGAGCUUGCUUUCUCGAGCGAGUGGCGAACGGGUGAGUAACGCGUGAGGAACCUGCCUCAAAGAGGGGGACAACAGUUGGAAACGACUGCUAAUACCGCAUAAGCCCACGGCUCGGCAUCGAGCAGGGGGAAAAGGAGCAAUCCGCUUUGAGAUGGCCUCGCGUCCGAUUAGCUAGUUGGUGAGGUAACGGCCCACCAAGGCAACGAUCGGUAGCCGGACUGAGAGGUUGAACGGCCACAUUGGGACUGAGACACGGCCCAGACUCCUACGGGAGGCAGCAGUGGGGAAUAUUGCACAAUGGGGGAAACCCUGAUGCAGCGACGCCGCGUGAAGGAAGAAGGCUUUCGGGUGUAAACUUCUUUGUCAGGGACGAGUAGAAGACGGUACCUGACGAAUAAGCCACGGCUAACUACGUGCCAGCAGCCGCGGU
rnacentral:rRNA from 1 species